UACAGAGGUCUCAAGCGUUGUUCGGAUUCAUUGGGCGUAAAGGGUGCGUAGGUGGCGCGCUAAGUCGGGUGUGAAAUUUCGGAGCUUAACUCCGAAACUGCAUUCGAUACUGGCGUGCUCGAGGACUGGAGAGGAGACUGGAAUUCAUGGUGUAGCAGUGAAAUGCGUAGAUAUCAGUCGGAACACCGGUGGCGAAGGCGGCUUCUUGGGCCCUACCUGACGCUGAGGCGCGAAAGCCAGGGGAGCAAACGGG
rnacentral:rRNA from 1 species